rnacentral:tRNA from 1 species
GCUCCUGUACGCAUCGGGUGAGGCGGGCCGACUGUCUAUCGGUCGAGGAGGGUUCGAGUCCCUUCGGGAGCGCCA